CAGGAAUUCAGAGUCAGAAAUAGCCUUGAUGGGGUAGGUUCAGGAAGGCCUCUUGGAGGAGCUGCCUGGAACUCCAUGGUAGUGAGUAGGCUCUAGGAAGGUGCUCUUUCAGGGGAUGACUACUCCCUUCUACUACUCUAAAACAUGGCUGCUGGGGUGGGGAAGGAUCAAAUGAUAUUGGCAUUUUUGUCUUUGGACUCUCACAGAUCAUUACCAACCCCACUUUUUUACAGGUAAGAAGAGGUUUGGAGAGGUGAUAGGGACAGCCCAAGUUAAGAGCAGAGCUGAAGUAGAGCCUGAACCAGAAAGAAAGGAGGAAAUGUCAGAUGGGUCUGAGCUGGAAUGAACUGAAAAAAGGGACCAGUCAGUAUAUGCUUAGUUCCAUGGUUGCCAUUUUAUUCUCCUGGUCGUUACCUUAUUUAGGUUUGUUCUUUGUUCUGGGUGCUGGAGGAUGAAGGAAGGAGUCUGCCAGAUAGCAGAUCAGAUGCUUCUCAGAGGAUCAGAAGAUCUGCAUGGGGUCUGGGAAAAGAGCCUUUCACAUAGUAACUGCCUUUGAACUGGGUCUCUGGCCUAAACCCUGGAAGGAGCCGGAUAAAAAAUCUGGCAGCUAUCUCAAGAGCUGAUGUGUAGGAGAGGGGUUGCUUUUCUACCCUGGGGUAGGCAAGUAAUUUCUCUGGUAGGGAGAGAAGAAUGAAGAGGUUGUUCAGAGGGUAGGCAGCCAGAUCAGUUCUUAGAGGCAUCCACAGUGAGCAGGUAUAUGCAAACCUAACCCUAAAGGCCAAGAAAGCUGAGAGGCCGAAGAAAAAGGCUGACAAAUCUAGUUUCCUCGAAACAAAUAUUUAAUAGGGAGUUAGAACAGAAGUGGUAUCUGUAGUGGCUGAAAAACAGCAGAUCUUUCUAAAGUAUCCUUUACAUAGCAAACUUUUGGGGUAAAGAUGCACAGCUGGUCAUUCCUCAGACUCCUGUGAAACUCUGGGGAGGUUAGAUAUACAUCUUUAUAAGGGGUUGUCUGUGCUUGUAGGUAUUGUUUCUUUAUGAGAGGUUGUCUAUUCUAUGGGAACACAUCAGUCAUUAUGGCAGUUGCACUGCAGGAUGGUGUUGCCCUUGCACUGCAACGGUCUGUUUUCCUGCACAGGUGUCACUGCUCAUUCAGGAUCAAUAGACGGUGGAGGACUAACAGGUGGUUUAGGUGUACAGGUGAAACCCACUGGGGUUUCUUCUGGGGUGGUCUCAGGACCCAAGGUGUCUAGGCCUUCAGUGGUGGGGUGGGUUGUGGGCCUGACAGUCAGGAUACAGGAGUUGUGUCUGUAGCCGCUGGCCUAUAGCCUCUUGCUGCCAUCCUCAUUGUUCCCAUGCCCACCGUGUUCUCUUUUCUGUCCCAGGUUCAGUAUACAAGCUCUGUAUCUCCUGACCUUAGAAGCCACCCUGCCAUAAGGCUCUCCCUGAGCUUCCCAGAUGCAUAUUUCCCAAAGAUGUGACUGUGUUUCCCCAAUCCCAAAUUUCAGCUCUGAUGCCAUGUGGUUGGUUGAAGCCAUAAGAAAAGUGAAGAGGACUGUCUGUGUGUGUGUGUAUGAGUUGAGUGUACGUGUUGGAACGGGAAGCGAAGAGGGACACCGGGUGUCAGGCAGCCCUGGCCGCAUGCUGGACUGCUCUCUGCUGCUGUUGCCUCCUGGACACCUUGGACUGAGCAGCCAAGAGCCAAGUGUUUCCCUACAAUCCUGUCACAAUUGUUACUAGAAUAAACAACUAAUGUUG